rnacentral:rRNA from 1 species
GACCGGCGCACGGGUGCGUAACGCGUAUGCAAUCUACCUCUUACUGAGGGAUAGCCCAUGGAAACGUGGAUUAAUACCUCAUAGUAUUAUAGACUGGCCUCAGUUUAUGAUUAAAGGUUACGGUAAGAGAUGAGCAUGCGUCCUAUUAGCUAGAUGGUAAGGUAACGGCUUACCAUGGCUACGAUAGGUAGGGGUCCUGAGAGGGAGAUCCCCCACACUGGUACUGAGACACGGACCAGACUCCUACGGGAGGCAGCAGUGAGGAAUAUUGGACAAUGGGCGAGAGCCUGAUCCAGCCAUGCCGCGUGCAGGAAGACGGCCCUAUGGGUUGUAAACUGCUUUUACAGAGGAAGAACCCUCCUUACGUGUAAGGAGCUGACGGUACUCUAUGAAUAAGGAUCGGCUAACUCCGUGCCAGCAGCCGCGGUAAUACGGAGGAUCCAAGCGUUAUCCGGAAUCAUUGGGUUUAAAGGGUCCGUAGGCGGGUCUAUAAGUCAGUGGUGAAAGUCUGCAGCUUAACUGUAGA